GAGGUAGGAGCUGUAGUGGAGUCAAAGGGAGGAUCGAAGGUAGGAUCUGCAGUGGUGUUGGAGGUAGGAUCUGUAGUGGAGUCGGAGGUAGGAGCUGUAGUGGAGUCGAAGGGAGGAUCGAAGGUAGGAUCUGCAGUGGUGUUGGAGGUAGGAUCUGUAGUGGUGUUGGAGGUAGGAGUUGUAGUGGAGUCAAAGGGAGGAUCGAAGGUAGGAUCUGUAGUGGUGUUGGAGGUAGAAGCUGUAGUGGAGUCGGAGGUAGGAGCUGUAGUGGAGUCGAAGGGAGGAUCGAAGGUAGGAUCUGUAGUGGUGUUGGAGGUAGAAGCUGUAGUGGAGUCGGAGGUAGGAGCUGUAGUGGAGUCGAAGGGAGGAUCGAAGGUAGGAUCUGUAGUGGUGUUGGAGGUAGAAGCUGUAGUGGAGUCGGAGGUAGGAUCGAAGGUAGGAUCUG
ensembl:lncRNA